rnacentral:misc_RNA from 1 species
AAAUCUCAACCUUCUCGGUUUCUUCUGGACGCCGAAGGAGGCUUGGACUUUGGAGGCCUUUGCUGGCGUCUCUCUCUUUUGAAGGCCAGCUCCUCUUAAAUGAAUUAGUGGGGUCCUCUUUGCCGAUCCUUGACGUGUGAUAAGAUGUUUCCAUGUCUUGGCUUCCGGCUCUGUUGCUUUUGGGACCCGCUUCUAAUGAAGUUUGAGCGCAUCUGCUCUCAACCCCACGAAC